rnacentral:rRNA from 1 species
CUGGACUAGACAACAGUGGACCGUCCUAGAAAUAGGAUUUUCCCUUCGGGGACCGCUGGUUCAGGUGCUGCAUGGCUGUCGUCAGCUCGUGUCGUGAGAUGUUGGGUUAAGUCCCACAACGAGCGCAACCCUUAUCAACAGUUGCCAUCAUUAAGUUGGGAACUCUGUUGAGACUGCCGUUGAUAAAACGGAGGAAGGUGGGGAUGAUGUCAAGUCAUCAUGGCCUUUAUGUUCAGGGCUACACACGUGCUACAAUGGCCGGUACAAAACGUCGCAAUCUCGCAAGAGGGAACUAAUCGCAAAAACCGGUCUCAGUUCGGAUUGAAGUCUGCAACUCGACUUCAUGAAGUUGGAAUCGCUAGUAAUCGCAAAUCAGCAUGUUGCGGUGAAUACGUUCCC